UACUUAUUUGUUUGUGAUGCAUUUAUUUAUUUACUUCUUCUAUAUUUAUAUAUUUCUCUACUGUUAGUUUCUUGUUUGUGCAUUUCUUCUUCCAUUUUUUCAUUAACUUUGUUAUACUGCUGUUAGUUUACAUGAAAAGUGGUCAAAAUUUUCUACUGGCGACAAAAUGGUGAAAAUGUUUCUUUAAGCAUUUCGAAAACAAUCGUAACUUGUAUUGUCAUCAGGCAAUGGAAAGAAUACAAGUUGAGGAUACGCCUCUAUUUCCCACUAGUUGCCCUCGCAUCACAUCACCUCAUACUGAGAUACAAGUUAUUGUCUUCUGCUCAUUAGACGAUGUUAACCUAAUCAGCGACAUGGAGAUGACAUCUUAAAUGUUCUCAAACUAUUUUAUUUUUUAUUGCUUCUUUAAUGUUUAAUUAAUAUAUCAUUAAAAUAGUCAUAGAUGUAACAUUUUUUCCUCGAUAUAAGCCUUUUCCUUCACCGUAAAUAAAUGUGAACUAUUGAAGGAAAAUUAGUACCGCGUUAGGCUUUUAUCACCAUUUGUCAAUUUAUGUUGCCUCAUGUUAGGCUUUGAGCAAUGCUAUAAAUUAAAAUUGUUGAGAAAAGCAUUUUUAAAAGUGUUUUUGAUGAAAAAAACUCAUCUAUAUAGGUAAUAUAAAAACAUAAUAUAAAAACCAUUUCUAUAUAGGUAGUACAAAAAAUACAAUGUAUUGACUUGUAAUUUAGUGGAUAUCCAUAAAUUUCUUAAAUGCUUAUCUGAAAUCAAUAAUAAGGAACUAUUUGAUGUAAAAAUAUAACCUUUGGUGAAAAAUUUGGCUUAUCAUUAUACAGUCCCUCAUACAUAAAUGUAAAAGUGUAGCAUAUGUGUUAAUGUUUCAGCAAAGUAGAUAAAUUCUUCUGUUAGCAAUCUUUUUAGUUUAAAGGAAUUGAAACAAAAUAAAACCAGAUUGGAAAAAAACAAGCAAUAUAAUUUAUUUAUUUUGCUAAUCGCAAUAAUCUUUACUCUGCUAGAUAGAAGCUAAUAUUGCUAUGAAAUUUCGGGAGAAACUUUUAUUUUUUUAUUCGCAUCAUUUUAUUAAUUUAUUAUAAUUACUUGCGAUCCCGAGCUUAGCAAAGAUAAUUAAUUGAUCGUUGUUAACGAAAGAGCUAAAAGUUUACAAAUAGGAAAACGUAACUCCCUUCAUUAAAAUAAAAUAGUAAAGAUUGCAGAUGUUUGUUUUUAAUAUAAUUAUCUGUUAAUAAAACAUGUUAUAAU
rnacentral:lncRNA from 1 species